GACGAACGCUGGCGGCGUGCCUAACACAUGCAAGUCGAACGAAGAGUCCGGGCUUUUUGGCGCACGGCGGCGGACCGCGUGGGGAUCUGCACCUUGCUUCGGAAUACCAGUUAGAAAUGAAUGCUAAUACCGGAGGGAGUCUUAGGACCAAAGAUCUAUCGGCAAGGGAUGAGCCUGAGUAGGAUUCUGUAGUUGGUGGGGUAAAGGCCUACCAAGCCGACGAUCCUUAGCUGGUCGGAGAGGAUGAUCAGCAACACUGGGACAGGGACCCGGCCCAGACGCCUACGAGAGGCAGCAGAGGUGAAUGAGGGACAAUGGGCGCAAGUCUGAUCCAUCAAGGCCGCGAGAGUGAUGAAGGGGUUAGGAACGUAUAUCUCUUUUACCAGGGAGGAUAUUGCCGGUACCAGUAGAAAAGGCUCGGCUAAACACGUG
rnacentral:rRNA from 1 species